rnacentral:rRNA from 1 species
CAUGUCCUUUAGAUUUUAAUUUAAGGUCUAAUCUGCUCAAUGAUAAUUAAAUAGCCGCAGUAUUUUGACUGUGCUAAGGUAGCAUAAUAAUUAGUUUUUUUAUUGAAAGCUGGAAUGAAUGAUUGGACGGAGGAUUAACUGUCUCUUUAAAAUUUUAUUUUGAAUUUAACUUUUGAGUAAAAAGGCUUAAAUUGUCUUUAAAGACGAGAAGACCCUAUAGAGUUUUACAUGUUUAUUUUAAUAAAUUUUUUGGGAUUAAUUUAUUUUUUGAUUAGUAUGUUUGGUUGGGGUGACUGGAAGAUUAAAUAAACUCUUCUAUGUUUAUAUUACUUAUAAGUAAUCUAUUUUUCUAUAAUUUUUAAGUUUAAAUCAAAUUACCUUAGGGAUAACAGCGUUAUUUUCCUUUAGAGUUCUUAUCAAUAGGGAAGUUUGCGACCUCGAUGUUGGAUUAAAAUUUAAGCUAGGCGCAGUAGCUUAUGCAAUUAAGUCUGUUCGACUUUUAAAAUUUUACAUGAUCUGAGU